CGACAAUGAGUCAUCGCCGUAUGAUGGGGGAGCUGAAUGAGACGUUGGAGACCAUUCAGGGAUUUUUACCUUUCCUUUCACAGAUGGGGAAACCGAGUCCCAGGGAUCUUUGCCCCAAAUCGCGUGACUACUGACUGGCCACACUGGAACCAAAUCCAAGGUCUUACAAUUUUCUCCGGAUUUUCUACAUGGCCAGCUCAAAAAGACACUAUGAUGCACCCUGCGUUUUCUGGAGUAAAGCCGAGAAUGUGGGGAAGGAAGAAAAGGGGAAAGAAUCAAGUAAAGCUUGCUUCUUGCUGAGACUGUCCUGGGUGCCCUGCUGGAAUUUCCCUUGGAAGAGGUAAGCUGGAGAGAAACCAGUUUUCCUGUUCCUUUCUCCCCAGUGGCCAGCGGCUGCAGUGAUCAUACACAAAACACUUGAAAUGUCUGAAUUCUAAAAGGAAACAUCUGAAGGCAUAAUUUUGUCUUCGUGUGAUGUAAGAGGCAAGAAUGUGGAUCGCUGGCUUUUCUCCGUUUUGCUUUCUGGUUGUUUACUUAUUAAUUUAUUUUUGUCUUUGGGUGUGGGAGUCUUUGUAGACUUGUAGACAUGUAGAAAGCUGUCUGCUUGGGGGAGACACCUAUGUAAAGAACAUGCUGAUGGUGAGAAUUAUGAACUAGCCGUAAGAAUAUCAUUUUCGCAUCUCUCAGACUUACCCAAGAAUUUGGAUGCAACAAGGAUGCUCAUUGACUAUUCGUAUUUUUAAACCAUCGUAAAUAUGUUUUUUUUAUAGAAUCGUGAGUUUCGAUUUAGCCUUUUAAAGAUCAGUUGAAGUAUAUAAUUCAUAAAUACAGAUGUGCUAGAACAUUAGGCUAUUCUAAAAAAUAUACAUAAGCCUUAACUUUCGAAGGGGGAAAAACAAAAAAAGAAUUUUCAUCCGUAGACCUGGAGGAAGGGGAAGAUGCCAUUUUUGAGAUUGUCCCAGCUCUGUUACUUUAUUAAUGAGGAAAUUAAGACCUAGUCCGGGCCACCUGACUUUUAUGCUGUCGUCCAGGCAUUUAGAGGUCGGACAGUUGUUCAACUGAAAUGUGUAUGUUGAUGGUGUGCCCUCUUUCAAUCAUCAGCACGGCACCGCCACCCCCCACCCCCCACCCCUGACCACAGACUUGUAACUUUACAUUUGGGACAUUUAGGGUGGGAAGAAUCAGAGUAGCUUGUCACCAUUCAAUGUCAAGGCUCUGUGUUCUCCAGGGAACUGUCAACAUCUGUUUGUUUUGGGUUUCUUAGAGAAAUAGACUGGGCACAGUAAUCUUACUUAAGGAAAGAAGUUUUUUGGGUCAUAAAUGCCCUCAUUAUAAACUAGGGAUAAGAAGAGCCAAACUUGCCCACACUCAAUAUAAAAAUUAAUAACUGGCUGUGCUGAGGGGCAUGGGGUAGGGGGUUGGAAACAAGAUUUAUAGCCUGUUCCCUUUGAGAUAUCAUUCCUAUGACUUCAGUGACAUCCCUUAGACGUGGGAAUCUUGUGAGAGUCAGUUUUAGGAAGUGUAAUCAUUUUGUAAAAGUGUUAAACUUUAUUUUUACUUUUUUAGAGAGAGAGAGGGAGAGAGAGAGAGAGAGAGAGAGAAUCCCAAGCAGGCUCCACACUCAGCGUGGAACCCAAUGCAUGCAUGGCUUUACCCCCACAGCCCUGGGAUCAUGACCUGAGCUGAAAUCAAGAGUCGGACACUCAACCGACUGAGUCACCCGGGCGCCCUAAAAGUGUUAAAGAUUUAAAAUUAGAUGUAAGAAGGAAAUCAUUGAGUUUUCCACCGUCCUCCGUCUUGUGUGUGUGUAUACAUAUACACACAUAUAUAUGCCACCCCUGCUUUUUUCUCCACCCUCACUUUUCCAUUGGAGAUAUUUGUACAGGACUGCCAUCUACAGAAAAGGAAACUUUUCUCCUGGUACCCAGUGACAUCUAAGUUUCCGACCGCUCAAAUAAAUACAUGUCUCCCUGCAUCCAGCUGUCUCAACAGGCCGGGGCGCUGGUGGACUGCAGAAUCUUUCCUUCUCCUCCUGGAGAACUGGGCAUAGGACCCAGCAGGAAAAUGGACCCAAGAACCUUGCCCAUGCAGCAGCCAUGCCAGAAGCACCAACUAAAUCUAAAAACCACAGAUUCAAUUAACUAAUCCCUCUCCUAGGAUUGCCAAGAAGAAAUAAUCUUGUCAACCACCCCCUUUGCCGUGAGCCCUGAUCCAAAGCUCAAUAUGCUUUUGAUUUUCCUAGAGCCUUCAAAAAAAAAAAAAAAAAGAAAUGUUAUUUCAAGGCCACUCCCUGUUUUCCACAUUCUUGACAGAGGUAUGUUUUUCAUACUCUCCACAACACUUUACUGAUGGGACAGUGUUUGUUUUUAAUUUCUGUACAGUAUUUUUGUUGGUCUCAUCUAUGUUUUUGUAAUUAAUUGAACACACAGACCCAGACUCGUCAUAGAGGGCAUUGUGGGUAAUUACAUCCCAGGAACUGUUUUCCUGCUGAAAAUAUGUACGAUUCAUCUCCCUGUUCUUUUCUAGUCACCCGAGAACCACAGCAGCGGCAAAGAUAUGAAAUGCCAUCUUGUGAAAGAACAUCGAAGACUAGUUAGUGACAUCCCCCCCCCCCCCCCCCGUCAACCAUGAUGGAGACGUGAGCUUUGUUACAAACUUUAUGCCUCAAUCAUAUGAGCAGGAUCACAGCUUAAAGCACAUGUAGACGGGAUCUGCAAAGCGUUUUCCUCUCCAUCAUUUUCUCUCUUCUCUGUUUUCUCUGCACUUCGCCGGCACAUGACAAUUGGGUCAUCGGCUGAUUUACUACAGGGGCAACAGGGCACCGCUGGUCUCUUCGAUGGCUGCCUUCGGCUUUUAUCAACAACAGCCAAGGACAGAAGAAAGUUCCUCGUUAUGAAAUUACCUUGAGCGUGAUGAGAGUUUCAUCGGUUAAAGAAAAUUUAAGUGAGAAGACUGCACCCCAGGGUUACUACAAACACAUAUUCUCUUCAGACGUUUCUGAGUAUUAACUGAUGUGGUGCUGACAGCAAUUUUGAGGAUUUAAUUUAGGACGCUAUUUUCUUUUUCUUUUUCUUAAUGUUUAUUUAUGGAGAGAGAGAGAGAACACGCAAGUCAAGGGGAGGGGCAGAGAGAGAGGGAGAGAGAGAAUCCCAAGGAGGCUCUGCACGGGCUCUGUGCUCCCCGAUGUAGGGCUCGAUCCCUCGAACCGCGAGAUCGCGACCUGAGCCGAAACCAAGAGUAGACGCCCAACCCGCUGAGGCAUCCGGGGUGCUCUUUUCUUCAGUGAAAAUGCUACUUAUUUGGAGAGUGGCUCUGACUGCCUUGGAGGUUGAAUGUGAAGAGAAAGCCUGCAAGGACAGGGCCAAUCAGGCACUGGUCAUAUACCUACAUAACUCGCCUUAAAAUCGGGAGCUGACCUACUGGCUUAAUGACCCCUGACCUCUGGGCUGAGACUUCCAGAAGGUCCUUUAGUGUGCUUGUCAUGGUGGCAGCUUUUGUUCACCUUCAAGUAGGAAGUUUUGAGACCCUGUUGAGAAGUAAUGCUGAUUUGUAUGGAAACUUUCACGUUGAAAUUGUCUGUGGGUCUUUUUUUUAAAAAUUUUUUAUCAUUGUUGUUGUUGUUGCUGCUUAUAGAAAUCUGAGCUAAAAGCCGGGCCUCUGCUCCCCGCUGCUUGGGUUUAAUAACAAAACACAAAGCAACCAUAUAAACAGACCCUUUUUAUCAACUGUAGGCCCCAACUUCUCCCUCAUCGAAACAUGAGUCACUGGGGCCUAGAACUUAUACCGUAAGCGGAAACCAGAUACCCCUAGAAUCAGAAGUAUCUCCAGCACUAAUUGGAUUAGAAAUCACGAAGCAUACUCUCAGGCCGGAGCAUUCAAAUCAAA
rnacentral:lncRNA from 1 species